GUGAAUCAUCGAAUUUUUGAACGCAAAUUGCGCUUCCUAGCAUCCCGGGGAGUAUGCCUGUUUGAGGGUCAGUAUUAACCAACAACUCGGUUUGGUUGCAAAUUGUGACGUUUCCGGGGUUUGAGCUAUCUUGACUUUUUUGGUUAAGGUGCUUGAAAUUUACCUUUUUUGCGCAUUUUUUGACGUACA
rnacentral:misc_RNA from 1 species